ACGCGCUGGCGGGACUCGGUGAAAUUCCGAACCGGCGGUGAUCCAGGGCAACCUGGUAAGCCCGCGACCCGGACGACCUCGUGUCGUGCGGUGGACCUGGUGAGAAUCCGGGGCCGACGGUCACAGUCCGGAUGGGAGACAGCGCGC
rnacentral:ncRNA from 2 species